UACGUAGGGUGCAAGCGUUAAUCGGAAUUACUGGGCGUAAAGCGUGCGCAGGCGGUUGUGUAAGACCGAUGUGAAAUCCCCGGGCUCAACCUGGGAACUGCAUUUGUGACUGCACGGCUCGAGUGCGGCAGAGGGGGAUGGAAUUCCGCGUGUAGCAGUGAAAUGCGUAGAUAUGCGGAGGAACACCGAUGGCGAAGGCAAUCCCCUGGGCCUGUACUGACGCUCAUGCACGAAAGCGUGGGGAGCAAACAGG
rnacentral:rRNA from 1 species